UGACAGUCGACGCUGAGCUUGGUGCUUGCACUGGGUGGAUGAGUGGCGAACGGGUGAGUAAUACGUGAGUAACCUGCCCUUGACUCUGGGAUAAGCCUGGGAAACUGGGUCUAAUACUGGAUAUGACCUCCUGUCGCAUGGUGGGGGGUGGAAAGGGUUU
rnacentral:rRNA from 1 species